GGCCGGGUGGUCCUAGUCAGGUCAGGACGUUAGCCCGUUAAGCUGAAGAUGCGGGUUCGAUUCCCGCCUCGGCCA